rnacentral:lncRNA from 1 species
GUCUCGCCUACUUUUGCUGUUAAUCACACACUCAUCAAAAAUGAUGAAAAAAAUCAAUAAAAUUUUUCCUCUCGAUACUAUCUUUUGAUUAUCAGAAGCUUCUGUCCAAGUUUGGUAAAAAUCCAGGCUAGUUUAAGAAUCUUAAAAAUGUUUUAAAUACUUUACCUGCAGACUGUAUGUAAUGUUAACUGGAAGAAAAACUAAGUCCAUUUAUAAGUAAAAUACGGGAAAAAUGGAAUUUUAUUUUUACAAAAUUU